UGACAGUACUCCUACGGGGAGGCAGCAGUGGGGGAAUAUUGCACAAUGGGCGCAAGCCUGAUGCAGCCAUGCCGCGUGUAUGAAGAAGGACCUUCGGGUUGUAAAGUACUUUCAGCAGUGAGGAAGGUGGAUAUGUUAAUAGCAUAUUCAUUUGACGUUAGCUGCAGAAGAAGCACCGGCUAACUCCGUGCCAGCAGCCGCGGUAAUACGGAGGGUGCGAGCGUUAAUCGGAAUUACUGGGCGUAAAGCGCAUGCAGGUGGUUUGUUAAGUCAGAUGUGAAAGCCCGGGGCGUCAACCUCGGAAUUGCAUUUGAAACUGGCAAACUAGAGUACUGUAGAGGGGGGUAGGAAUUUCAGGUGUAGCGGUGAAAUGCGUAGAGAUCUGAAGGAAUACCGGUGGCGAAGGCGGCCCCCUGGACAGAUACUGACACUCAGAUGCGAAAGCGUGGGGAGCAAACAGGAUUAGAUACCCUGGUAG
rnacentral:rRNA from 1 species